rnacentral:rRNA from 1 species
UAAGGAAUAUUGGUCAAUGGACGCAAGUCUGAACCAGCCAUGCCGCGUGAAGGAUGAAGGUCCUCUGGAUUGUAAACUUCUUUUAUCUGGGACGAAAACGGGAUUUUUAUCUCACUUGACGGUACCAGAGGAAUAAGCACCGGCUAACUCCGUGCCAGCAGCCGCGGUAAUACGGAGGGUGCGAGCGUUAUCCGGAUUUACUGGGGUUAAAGGGUGCGUAGGUGGGCUUAUAAGUCAGUUGUGAAAUCUCCGAGCUUAACUUGGAAACUGCCGUUGAUACUAUAGGUCUUGAAUUAUCUGGAGGUCAGCGGAAUAUGUCAUGUAGCGGUGAAAUGCUUAGAUAUGACAUAGAACACCAAUUGCGAAGGCAGCUUACUACAUAUAAAUUGACGCUGAGGCACGAAAGCGUGGGGAUCAAACA